AUGAGCAUACUGACUGAUCUCACUAGUACUCCCUCCAUUUAUCAUUCUGGUUCUGUCUUCUCAUUUCUACAGGGCAGCUACACAAUUCCCAAUGGAGAACAACACAGAGGACUUGCAAUUUGAAGAUGUCAACUGAAAGUGUGUCAUCUUUCUUGAAGAGCAAGAGAACUUGGAACCUUUUGACUACUACCUGAGACAGAGCUUUUUCUAAUGGUAUUUAUGCAUUAUUCACGAAUGAAUUUCCAAUUUUAGACUUAUACUCAAGAUU
rnacentral:lncRNA from 13 species